UCGGGAAUUUUGCCCAAUGGACGAAAGUCUGAGGCAGCAACGCCGCGUGAGGGAUGAAGGCCUUCGGGUCGUAAACUUCUUUUCUCAGGGACGAUAAUGACGGUACCUGAGGAAUAAGCCACGGCAAACUACGUGCCAGCAGCCGCGGUAAUACGUAGGUGGCGAGCGUUGUCCGGAUUUACUGGGCGUAAAGAGCGCGCAGGCGGUCGUUCAAGUCGGAUGUGAAAUCCCCCGGCUCAACUGGGGAGCGUCAUUCGAUACUGAUCGACUUGAAGGCAGGAGAGGGAAGCGGAAUUCCCGGUGUAGUGGUGAAAUGCGUAGAUAUCGGGAGGAACACCAGAGGCGAAGGCGGCUUCCUGGCCUGUUCUUGACGCUGAGGCGCGAAAGCUAGGGGAGCAAACGG
rnacentral:rRNA from 1 species